UCUUCGUGUGGGCGGGGAACCAGCCGAAGUGGGAAUCCGGCCUGGAUCCGGGGCCGGGGGCGGAGCCGAGGGGCGGUCGUUUGGCCGGCACACGAGACCCGCGCCGCCUGAGGGCGCGGCGUCUCCGCUGGAGGGUUCUGGCCCCGCUCCCGCGCGGGGAGCUUGGGGGAGGUGGUGGGGUGCCGGGCUGGCCCGCAGAGGGCAGACUGCUGUGUGUGGGGCGGCGUCCGGGUAACCCCAGGUUGGCCGCGGCGGGGAGGGUCGUCAGCUGUGCAGGUCUCGGUUCUGUCAGAUUACCCCACGCAGAUUUGGGGUUAGAUGCCACGUGACCAACAAGGGCAGACGCUCCUCCCCGUAGGCGUCCACUCUGGAGAAGUGAGCUUGGGCGUUUGCUUGCGGAGCAGGACCCGAGCGGGGAGCAGUCCUCCGGUCCAGCAAGUUGAGUCCGUUGAGUGCUGUCUCUGCUCGAGGAACUUGGCUGGUUCUUAGGUGCUCAGUUUACAAACAGUUAUCCCGAUACAGUUCUGUAGUUUAUCUGUUACUCAGGUCACUUUGGACUUGACCAAAUAUCUGGGUUUCUUUUCCAGACCGUUUCUUAGGAUGGUGUAAAUCACUGGCAGAGCUCAUCUGUUGAGCUUUAUUCAUUUUUUGUUUGGGGGUUUUGGUAGAUGGCUUUUACCUUAUUCUUAAAUUCUGAUGAUCUUACAGGAGCCCCAUAUAUGGAAUUAGAGAAUCUCUGUUUCUUAUUAACUGUUUUAUUGAGAUGUAAUUUAUGUAACAUGAAAUUAACCUGUUUUAAGUGUACAGUUCAGUGGUUUUUAACAUAUUUACAGAGUUCUGCAGCCAUCACCAUAAUGGAAUUAGGCAAUUAUUUUUUUUUCCUGGUAAUUGCCUUUGCUAUUCUCAAAAGUUUGUCUUAGUGAACAUUUUCGAAAUACAAGCUAAGAGCCUCUGAAAAUCUACGCUGAAGUCUUGUUAUACCUUAGCAGGUGAAAUUAGGAGGAGAAUUGAAGCAAAUGUUCCUAGAAGUUGCAGAAUUCAAGAUGAGGAGGAACUAGGAAGGAAGAUUGCAAAGGGGCGCCCAGUGUGUUAGGAAGAAAACCAGGUGAAGCUUCAGCCUUAGAAGACAAGUGAAGAAAGUGUUUUGUAGAAGAAAGGGAAGAAGAAAAGAGACCUGAGCUCUCUUUUCUCUGCCAUGUGAGGACACUGCAAGCAAGGAAGUGGGGACCUACCAGGAAUUGAAUUGACUGGUACCUUGAUCUUGGACUUCCCAGUCUCCAGAAGUGUGAGAAAUAAAUGUCAUUUAAGCCAUCCAGUCUAUGGUAUUUUGUUAGCAGCCCUAGCCUCUUUAGAUGAUACAGUCAGGUU